UUGUGGGUUAGGUUGGGGUUGAGCUGGAAGCUUACCCUUCUCUUGGGUACUUAGGACGGUAGUCAACAUUAAAAAUUGGUUCCUUAUAUCUUCAAAAUUUCGAGUAUUUUGAGCAUUGAUAUUAGCUUGACCUUGUAGAAAAGUUUGUAUGGAUUGCAAAGUAUCCUCGAUAUUUGGCUUUUGAGAAGGUGAUGGUGCAUAAGGAGGAUGUGCAGGUGGAGGAGCUGAAUGGUGUGACUGUUGAGGAUGAUCGUUUCUCCACCUAAUGUUUGGAUGAUUCUUCCAACCAGGGUUAUAGGUAUUCGAGUAUGGAUCGUUAUAAGGCUUUUGGUAGGAGUUCAUAGCAUUUGCUUGAUCGUGCAAGACUUCUUUGAAUGCCGGUAUGGUGGGACAAUCUGUAGUAGUAUGAC
rnacentral:lncRNA from 1 species